rnacentral:lncRNA from 1 species
GUCCUACAUAUUAAUAGGCAGCAUUUUAUUUUUCAGGUGUCAACCACAGAUACUCUCUAAGCCUAAUGUACAGGACAUCAGAUGAGUUGCUUUGUGGAGAGUUUUUUGGGGAAUGUGAAAAGCCCUACCAUAUGGAGAGGAGCUAACAGAUGUGUCUUGGUAGUGCAAGGGAUCUCCACUGCACAUAAAGGUGUCAGGAGUCCAUCAGGUGUCUUCACUUCUACUUUAGUAACCACCUCCAGGGCAGCCUGUUUUUUCUGA